rnacentral:rRNA from 1 species
GUGGGGGAUAUUGCACAAUGGGCGCAAGCCUGAUGCAGCGACGCCGCGUGGGCGAAGAAGUAUUUCGGUAUGUAAAGCCCUAUCAGCAGGGAAGAAAAUGACGGUACCUGACUAAGAAGCUCCGGCUAAAUACGUGCCAGCAGCCGCGGUAAUACGUAUGGAGCAAGCGUUAUCCGGAUUUACUGGGUGUAAAGGGAGCGUAGGCGGUAAGGCAAGUCUGAUGUGAAAGGCCAGGGCUCAACCCUGGGACUGCAUUGGAAACUGUUUAACUGGAGUGUCGGAGGGGCAAGUGGAAUUCCUAGUGUAGCGGUGAAAUGCGUAGAUAUUAGGAGGAACACCAGUGGCGAAGGCGGCUUGCUGGACGAUGACUGACGCUGAGGCUCGAAAGCGUGGGGAGCAAACAGGA